rnacentral:rRNA from 1 species
AAAUUGAAGAGUUUGAUCAUGGCUCAGAUUGAACGCUGGCGGCAGGCCUAACACAUGCAAGUCGAACGGUAACAGGAAACAGCUUGCUGUUUCGCUGACGAGUGGCGGACGGGUGAGUAAUGUCUGGGAAACUGCCUGAUGGAGGGGGAUAACUACUGGAAACGGUAGCUAAUACCGCAUAACGUCGCAAGACCAAAGAGGGGGACCCUCGGGCCUCUUGCCAUCGGAUGUGCCCAGAUGGGAUUAGCUUGUUGG